rnacentral:rRNA from 1 species
GAUGAACGCUGGCGGCGUGCCUAAUACAUGCAAGUCGAGCGAACGGACGAGAAGCUUGCUUCUCUGAUGUUAGCGGCGGACGGGUGAGUAACACGUGGAUAACCUACCUAUAAGACUGGGAUAACUUCGGGAAACCGGAGCUAAUACCGGAUAAUAUUUUGAACCGCAUGGUUCAAAAGUGAAAGACGGUCUUGCUGUCACUUAUAGAUGGAUCCGCGCUGCAUUAGCUAGUUGGUAAGGUAACGGCUUACCAAGGCAACGAUGCAUAGCCGACCUGAGAGGGGGACUAGGCAAACUGGAACUGAGACACGGGUCAGACCACUAAGGGAGGGAGGAAGGGGGAAUCUUGCAGAAUGGGCGAAAGCCUGAACGGGACAACGCGGGGGGGUGAAGAAGGGCUUCGGAUUGGAAAAACUUUUUAGUUGGGAAAAAAGAUAGGUGUAAAAAACUUUGCUCUUUUGAAGGUAACCAAAGAAAAAGGCCGCGGCAAAUUCGUG